CCUACGGGAGGCAGCAGUGGGGAAUAUUGGUCAAUGGACGAGAGUCUGAACCAGCCAAGUAGCGUGAAGGAUGACUGCCCUACGGGUUGUAAACUUCUUUUAUAAAGGAAUAAAACGAGGCACGUGUGCCUUUUUGCAUGUACUUUAUGAAUAAGGAUCGGCUAACUCCGUGCCAGCAGCCGCGGUAAUACGGAGGAUCCGAGCGUUAUUCGGAUUUAGUGGGUUUAAAGGGAGCGUAGAUGGGUUGUUAAGUCAGUUGUGAAAGUUUGCGGCUCAACCGUAAAAUUGCAAUUGAUACUGGCAGUCUUGAGUACAGUUGAGGUAGGCGGAAUUCGUGGUGUAGCGGUGAAAUGCUUAGAUAUCACGAAGAACCCCGAUUGCGAAGGCAGCUUACUAAACUGUGACUGACAUUGAUGCUCGAAAGUGUGGGUAUCAAACAGGAUUAGAUACCCCUGUAGUC
rnacentral:rRNA from 1 species